AUUGAACGCUGGCGGCAGGCCUAACACAUGCAAGUCGAACGGUAACAGGGAUCAGCUUGCUGAUUCGCUGACGAGUGGCGGACGGGUGAGUAAUGUCUGGGAAACUGCCUGAUGGAGGGGGAUAACUACUGGAAACGGUAGCUAAUACCGCAUAACGUCGCAAGACCAAAGAGGGGGACCUUCGGGCCUCUUGCCAUCGGAUGUGCCCAGAUGGGAUUAGCUAGUAGGUGGGGUAACGGCUCACCUAGGCGACGAUCCCUAGCUGGUCUGAGAGGAUGACCAGCCACACUGGAACUGAGACACGGUCCAGACUCCUACGGGAGGCAGCAGUGGGGAAUAUUGCACAAUGGGCGCAAGCCUGAUGCAGCCAUGCCGCGUGUAUGAAGAAGGCCUUCGGGUUGUAAAGUACUUUCAGCGGGGAGGAAGGGAGUAAAGUUAAUACCUGUGCUCAUUGACGUUACCCGCAGAAGAAGCACCGGCUAACUCCGU
rnacentral:rRNA from 1 species